GCCAGUGUAGUAUAGUGGUUUGAGCAUUGGACUAAGAUUCUGGAAACCAGGGUUCGAAUCCCUCUUCAGUCA